AGAGAGAGACAUGCGCGCAUAUCAAUAAGCGGAGGAAAAGAAACUAACAAGGAUUCCCUUAGUAACGGCGAGUGAAGCGGGAAGAGCUCAAAUUUGAAAUCUUCAAGGUUUUACCUUGACGAAUUGUAGGUUUAAAGAAGUGUUUUCUGCUGAAGUUUUGGUAAAAGUUCUUUGGAAUAGGACAUCAUAGAGGGUGAGAAUCCCGUAUUUGACCAUUAUUUUCAGCUUUGUGAUACACUUUCAAAGAGUCGGGAUUGUUUGGGAAUGCAGUCCAAAAUGGGUGGUAAAUUUCAUCUAAAGCUAAAUAUUGGCGAGAGACCGAUAGCGAACAAGUACCGUGAGGGAAAGAUGAAAAGAACUUUGAAAAGAGAGUUAAACAGUACGUGAAAAUUGUCAAAAGGGAAGCGUUUGACACCAGUGUUGUUUUCUCGAAAAUCAAUUAAAAAUGGCUCGGUUUUGUAUUGCUUGAGACCUUAAAAGCUCACUGUACAUUUUUCGUGUCUUUUUUAAUGCACUUUUCGUUUAACAAGUCAACAUCAGUUUCUUUUGUUGUAAAAGGGUCAUUGGAAGGUGGCUUUCUUUUCGGAGAAAGUGUUUAUAGCCUUUGGCCUCUGCAAUCGGAGAGACUGAGGUCUGCAGCGUAGACUCUUCGGGGUUAGAUACAUUUGUGCUAAGUUAUAGCUUUUUAUAGACAACUUGUUGACUAUAAUUAGUCUUGUAGCUUACUCGCUUAUGCUAUUUUACCUACGCUUAGGAUGUUGAGUCGUAGAGCACGCAG
rnacentral:rRNA from 1 species